rnacentral:rRNA from 1 species
AUUGAACGCUGGCGGCAGGCCUAACACAUGCAAGUCGAACGAGUGGCGGACGGGUGAGUAAUGUCUGGGAAACUGCCCGAUGGAGGGGGAUAACUACUGGAAACGGUAGCUAAUACCGCAUACCAUCGGAUGUGCCCAGAUGGGAUUAGCUAGUAGGUGGGGUAACGGCUCACCUAGGCGACGAUCCCUAGCUGGUCUGAGAGGAUGACCGGCAACAAUGGACCUGAGACACGGGCCAGCCUCCUACGGGAGGAAGAAGUGGGAAGGAUGGCACAAUGGGCGAAAGCCUUAUGAAGCAAUGCCGCUUGUAUGAAGAAGGCCUUCGGUUUGUAAAGUACUUUCAGCGAGGAGGCGUUACUCGAAGAAGAAGCACCGGCUAACUCCGGGCCAGCAGCCGCGUUAAUAC